GGAGGCAUCAUUAAAAAAUGAUUAAUGUCAGAAUAAACGCACUGUUUUCUUAAAAUCAGAUGAUUAUUUUUUUUUGGUUACGCUAUCUUUUUAAAAUUGAUUUUAUUUUUAUUUUUUUCACAAAGGUGUUUAGAAAAAGGACAGUUUGUUUUUGAUAGCAGCUGACAGCCCUGCCAUGAUGUCUGCACGAUCAUGCUACAGCAUGUAUACCUCGAGUACAGAACCAGGGUAAUUUCUAAAUACCACACUACAGCGAUGGACACGUCUCAGAUGACAGCGUCUGUGGGUAAAACAGUGAAGUCUUCAUUUUACACAUGUCAUGAUUAUCUGUGAUAAAUUGGCAAUAAGUGUCUUAGAACACCAGUUGUCUAAGGGCCACACGUCCAAGAGCAGUCUGAGCUGUGGCAGUCCGAACGAGAACAGGUGGAGUGAGGAUCUUUCCCAAAUCCCUCCAAAUGGCUACUAGUGGCCUCAUUCCUACUUGGACUCCUACUUCUGGAUCCCUUGGACAAAGCGAGUUCACUCGUUCUCCUCUCCCAGAAUGAACACUGAGGCUGGCACGAGGGACAUCUUCAAGGAAGAUUUUGCAGUACUACUCAGCACAGACAUUUGCAGUUAUAUUCUGUGUGCACGAUUCAUCCUGUAGUAGACAGAAGCUGUUGGGUGCU